rnacentral:rRNA from 1 species
AUUGAACGCUGGCGGCAGGCCUAACACAUGCAAGUCGAGCGGAUGAAGGGAGCUUGCUCCUGGAUUCAGCGGCGGACGGGUGAGUAAUGCCUAGGAAUCUGCCUGGUAGUGGGGGAUAACGUCCGGAAACGGGCGCUAAUACCGCAUACGUCCUGAGGGAGAAAGUGGGGGAUCUUCGGACCUCACGCUAUCAGAUGAGCCUAGGUCGGAUUAGUUAGUUGGUGGGGUAAAGGCCUACCAAGGCGACGAUCCGUAACUGGUCUGACAGGAUGAUCAGUCACACUGGAACUGAGACACGGUCCAGACUCCUACGGGAGGCAGCAGUGGGGAAUAUUGGACAAUGGGCGAAAGCCUGAUCCAGCCAUGCCGCGUGUGUGAAGAAGGUCUUCGGAUUGUAAAGCACUUUAAGUUGGGAGGAAGGGCAGUAAGUUAAUACCUUGCUGUUUUGACGUUACCAACAGAAUAAGCACCGGCUAACUUCGUG